GACAUGUGACAUUCUGGAUAAAGGCUUUCCUGAUCUCCAGAGCGGAAGCAGGAAUUUUCCUCCUCUGAACUCUUAGGGCAUUCUGCGUGUCACUCCAUGAAAGUCAUCCUGUUUCACUUGUGAUCACAUCUGUAUCUUCAAGUAUAUGUUGUACUGUGGACUCUGGACUGGGAUGUAAUGAAUCACCAUCGUGAAUAUAGCCAACAAAAUCAGGAAUAAAUACGAAGACUCACUAUUCAUACAUAUGGUUUGAUUUAUCUUUGCUACAUGCAGCAGGCAGAGGUGCAGAGAACCCUGCACUGGAUUUUGCAGAACAUCAAUCACUUUGGACUCUGAGGCAGUCCCCAUGUGUGGCACCACCGACCUGAUGACUAUCACAUCUUGAAUGGAAAAGGGAGACUAUUAUAAAAUCUUCAUCAACAGGCAAUUUUCCUCAGAUGCUCCUUAGACGGAAAGAUAAGUGUUCUACAAGAAGGCAUGGAGUUUGUCUUAACCAACAAAAGGUAUCCCUCCCUAGUUCCUGACACAAUGAUUGGUGCCAGUGAAUGUUUGUUGAUUGGAUCAACGUCCUUAAGAAUGUAUUUAUCUGCAAAGGGUGUGUACGGCUUGAAGAAAUACAGGAUUCAUAUCAAGGAUCAUUGUUUGGCUCAUAUUGAAAUUCACGUCU